AUAGAGAGAAAGCCAGUAAACAGCACCCCUCCAUGGCCUCUGCAUCAGUUCUUGCCUCCAAGUUCCUGCCCUAAGUGAGUUCCUGUCCUGACUUCCUUUGGAGCAGCAGUGUGGAAGUGUGGCUGUGGCAGUAAGAAGUUUGAAGAAAACUGGUGCACUCCAAAGUUUGCCCAAGACGGAAUGAUCUCCUUUGCUUAAGCAAGAACAGUUAUCUUUCCUCACUCUUUCCACUGCUACUCUCACUGUAUGCAGGGUCCAACAUGGCUGUGGAAGGGACAGUUCCAUCCCUGUAACAAAGCCAGCAAGAAGUGGGUUUCCUGGUGCAAACUUGCUGGAGAAGACGAAGUCACUGGGAGUGGCCUUUCAGAUUUCAUACCCUUACAAGAUACAGAAACAGAGAUACAUGCAUGUAGUUUGAUCUUUGCUUUGAGCUUUUGUUGAAGACAUGAGUUCUCAGCUUCUUGCUUCACCUCCCCUUAUGAACCCUUCGUCUGCAUCUACAAAGAAAAAUAAAC
ensembl:lincRNA Gm11846 predicted gene 11846